rnacentral:rRNA from 1 species
UGAGUAACACGUAUCCAACCUGCCGUCUACUCUUGGACAGCCUUCUGAAAGGAAGAUUAAUACAAGAUGGCAUCAUGAGUCCGCAUGUUCACAUGAUUAAAGGUAUUCCGGUAGACGAUGGGGAUGCGUUCCAUUAGAUAGUAGGCGGGGUAACGGCCCACCUAGUCUUCGAUGGAUAGGGGUUCUGAGAGGAAGGUCCCCCGCAUUGGAACUGAGACACGGUCCAA